GGGGGCGUUCUUGGAUUCGACGGGGAUGUUGAAGUUUGAGGUGCAUGUCGAGAAGGUCGAGAGUCUCGUAAAAACGCGGCAAACAGUUAUAAUUGCAAACGAUAAUAACUACGCUU
rnacentral:tmRNA from 1 species